CUGACCUGAGAAACUCAACUCGCUAGAGCUGACCCUGUGGUCCAGGAUGCAGGAUGACAACAGGAUAUCCGAGAGGAACCCAGUGAGAGCCCAUUACUGGUGGUGUGGCAGAAACCAGAGGCCUCAAGCCAGACCAACGACUCCUGGCAAUGAACACUUGCAGGCGAGGACCCCAGCACAGAGAACAGUGGGUCUUCCUACCGCAGUCAAACCUCUCUGGAAACACCCUCCCAGACAAAGGACAAAUAGGACCUUGUAAAACUAAAACAACUUCUGUCCAGCACAGGAAGCAAUCAGUUGAGGGAAAAGGAAGCUCACGGAGUGGAAGAUAAUCUUUGCCAGCUUUAUAUCAAUGAGAUGGUUAAUAGCCAGAAUAUGAAAUAAA